rnacentral:rRNA from 1 species
UACGGAGGGGGCGAGCGUUAUUCGGAAUUAUUGGGCGUAAAGGGCGCGUAGGCGGCUUCAUAAGUCAAAGGUGAAAUCCCUCGGCUCAACUGAGGAACUGCCUUUGAAACUGUGGAGCUUGAGGCCGGGAGGGGGUAGCGGAAUUCCCAGUGUAGCGGUGAAAUGCGUAGAUAUUGGGAGGAACACCAGUGGCGAAGGCGGCUACCUGGACCGGAACUGACGCUGAUGCGCGAAAGCGUGGGGAGCAAACAGG